rnacentral:rRNA from 1 species
UACGUAGGUGGCGAGCGUUGUCCGGAUUUACUGGGCGUAAAGAGCGCGCAGGCGGUCGUGCAAGUCGCGUGUGAAAGCCCCCGGCUCAACUGGGGAGGGUCACGCGAUACUGCUCGACUCGAAGGCAGGAGAGGGAAGUGGAAUUCCCGGUGUAGUGGUGAAAUGCGUAGAUAUCUGGAGGAACACCGGUGGCGAAGGCGGCAUCCUGGACCGGCAUUGACGCUGAGGAGCGAAAGCCAGGGGAGCAAACGGG